rnacentral:rRNA from 1 species
UACGUAGGGGGCAAGCGUUAUCCGGAUUUACUGGGUGUAAAGGGAGCGCAGACGGAACUGCAAGUCUGAUGUGAAAGCCCGGGGCUCAACCGCGGGACUGCAUCGGAUACUGUAGAUCUGGAGUGCUGGAGGGGCAAGCGGAAUUCCUGGUGUAGCGGUGAAAUGCGUAGAUAUCAGGAGGAACACCGGCGGCGAAGGCGGCUUGCUUGGACGGCAACUGACGUUGAGGCUCGAAAGCGUGGGGAGCAAACAGGAUUAGAUA